rnacentral:rRNA from 1 species
UACAGAGGUGGCAAGCGUUGUUCGGAAUUACUGGGCGUAAAGGGCGCGUAGGCGGCCUUCUAAGUCAGACGUGAAAUCCCCCGGCUUAACCUGGGAACUGCGUCUGAUACUGGGAGGCUCGAGUAUGGGAGAGGGAUGUAGAAUUCCAGGUGUAGCGGUGAAAUGCGUAGAUAUCUGGAGGAAUACCGGUGGCGAAGGCGGCAUCCUGGACCAUUACUGACGCUGAGGCGCGAAAGCUAGGGGAGCAAAGCGGG